CCAGACUCCUACGGGAGGCAGCAGUGGGGAAUAUUGCACAAUGGGGGAAACCCUGAUGCAGCGACGCCGCGUGAGCGAUGAAGUAUUUCGGUAUGUAAAGCUCUAUCAGCAGGGAAGAAAAUGACGGUACCUGACUAAGAAGCCCCGGCUAACUACGUGCCAGCAGCCGCGGUAAUACGUAGGGGGCGAGCGUUAUCCGGAUUCACUGGGUGUAAAGGGAGCGCAGACGGCAGUGCAAGCCUGGAGUGAAAGCCCGUGGCUUAACCACGGGACUGCUCUGGAAACUGUACGGCUGGAGUGCAGGAGAGGUAAGUGGAAUUCCUAGUGUAGCGGUGAAAUGCGUAGAUAUUAGGAGGAACACCAGUGGCGAAGGCGGCUUACUGGACUGUAACUGACGUUGAGGCUCGAAAGCGUGGGGAGCAAACAGGAUUAGAUACCCCGGUA
rnacentral:rRNA from 1 species